GUACUUUUAGCUUAAUAGGAUAAAGCAACAACCUUCUAAGUUGUGUGAUAUAGGUUCAAAUCCUAUAGAGUACA
rnacentral:tRNA from 1 species